GACGAACGCUGGCGGCGUGCUUAACACAUGCAAGUCGAGCGGGGCGGCGAACGGGUGAGUAAAGCGUGAGUAACUGCCCCCCUCUCUGGGAAAACAGUUGGAAACGGCUGCUAAUACCGGACAGUGGGGGAUGACUCUCGUCCUAUCAGCUUGUUGGUGGGGUAGGGGACUACCAAGGCGACGACGGGUAGCCGGCCUGAGAGGGAGACCGGCCACAUUGGUCUAAGAGACGGCCCAAACUCCUACGGGAGUCAGCAGGGGGGAAUAUUGCGCAAUGGGGGAAACCCUGAUGCAGCAACGCGCGUGCGGGAUGACGGCCUUCGGGUUGUAAACCGCUUUCAGCCAUGACGCGGUAGUGGCAGAAGAAGCACCGGCUAACUACGUGCCAGCAGCCGCGGUAAUUC
rnacentral:rRNA from 1 species